GGAACUCCCAGAUGAUUCUAUUUCUGUUAGGCUUAAGAUUAAUCUGCAAAUAACAUGGCCGGGGACUUUCCUUGUGGCUCACAACGAAAUAACAUGGCCAGUACAGGUGAUGGGCAGAUAGACAUGGAAAUGCCUAGGACACAUAUUCAUCCACUUAUUCCACAAGGACAUAUUAAUACCGGUCUGUGUCCAGGAAAUAAAAAAGGAACCAGACAGUUCAGUCCCUGCUUAAAAACAAGCAGCAAAGAGAUAAACAAGAUGCUUUCAGACAGCAAUAAAUGCCAAAAUAAAAUGGGACCAUGAGAUAUGCAGAAAUUAGAAAAAGUCUACUUUAAAGAGGAAAGUAGGCCUCUCUGAGGUGGAAAAUGUUUGUGCUGAAGCUACACGAGUCAUGCAAAGAUCUGGGAAAGACUGCUUAGGCAGAAGUGGAGCAAAUGUUGAGACACUGAGGGAGCAAGAGCCGCAGAGCACAGGGACAUCAGAUGGAAUGGACGAGAUGGAGGCCAGCUGAUGCCUGGCAGGCCAGGGAAGAAAUUCAAAUCUCAUUUCAAAUCCAGUAGAAAGCAAUGGACAGCUUUUAGCAGGGUAGCUACAUGAUGUGACUUGGAUUCUUUCAGAGAUUCUCCAGGUUGCUGAGAGGGAAAGGGGUUGUAGGGGCAAGAGUAGCAGCAGGAGGAUGAGUUCACCCAGAUGAGAGAAGAGAGGGGGCUUGGGCUCGGAUGUGGGGGAUGUGGGCGGUAGAACUGGAGGGAGGCGGGCACGUCAGGAGUGUGUUCUGAAGGUACAGACAACAGACUUGAUGCGGAGAAUGAAGGAGAGAGGACAACCAAGGAUGAUUCUGGAACUGAUCCCUGACCUGGCUGUCUCCCCUGUGAGGCAGGGAGGUCCUUGCUGGUUGGAAGGAUCCUUUUAAUCUCUUUAUCUUCACCAGCUAGUAUGGGGUUUAGUGUAUAGUUCCCCCAAUAAGUAUUUGUUGGGUGAUGAGUGAAUAAGUGACUGUAAAACAAAUGGAACUCGGGGAAAUACAAAUCAAAACCACAAUCAUUUCACACCUGUCAGAUGGCUAACGUCAAAAAUGUUGGUGAGGAUAUGAAGAACGUACACUAUAUGGGAAUGUAAAUCGGUGCAGCCGUGGUGGAAAACAGUAUGGAGGUUUCUCAAAAAACUCAAAGCAGAGCUACCAUACGACUGAGCAAUUCCAUUUCUGGGUAUAUAUUUGAAAAAGCAAAAACGCUAGUUUAAAAAGAAACAUGCACCCCAGUAUCCACAGCAGCAUUAUUUACAAUUGCCAAGAUUUGGAAGCCACCUAAGUGUCCAUCAACAGAUGAAUGGCUAAAGAUGUGGUACACACACACACACACACACACACACACACACACAAUGGAAGAUUACUCUGCCACAAAAAAAAAGAAUUAAAUUUUGCCAUUUGCAGCAACAUGGAUGGACUUGGAGGGUAUUAUGCUAAGUGAAAUAAGUCAGACAGAGAAAGACAAAUACUAUAUGAUAUCACUUAUAUGUGAAAUCUAAAAUAUACAGCAGGAGUUCCCAUUGUGGCUCAGCAGUUAAUGAAUGUGACUGGCAUCCAUGAGGACACAGGUUCAAUCCCUGGCCUUGCUCAGUGGGUUAAGGAUCCGGCAUUGCCGUGAGCUGUGGUGUAGGUCACAGACAUUGUUCAGAUCCAGCGUUGCUGUGGCUGUGCUGUAGGCAGGCAGCUCCGGCUCCCAUUCGACCCCUAGCCUGGGAACCUCCAUAUGCUGCAAGUGCAGCCCUAAAAAGGCUAAAAUAAAAUAAAAUAAAGAUAGGGGAUUAAGAGGGACAAAUUUUACAUAUAACAUAAGCUACAGGGUUAUAUUGUAGAGCACAAGGAAUAUAGUUAAUAUUUUUAAUAACUAUAAAUGGAGUUUAACCUUUUAAAAUUGUGAAUCACUAUAUUGUGUACCUGUAACACACAAUAUUUUAUGUAUACUAUACUUCGAUUAAAAAAAUACUCCAGUUUACAAAUCCUUUAGAAAGUAAUUCUAUACAUUUGCCAGCAGUGGUGUAACGUAGGGCAAAGGGAGGCGCUGCAGCACUGUUUGUAGUUUCUAAAGAUCAGUGACCAUCAGGGCUCAUUCCAAUGUAGGCUGGUAAAGUGCAUUACAGGGCAUGAACCUUUCAGGGGAUGGUUGUUCAGGAAACUAUGUCCCAAGAGAGGAUGAUUUCUAAGAUACUAUCAAAUGAAUAAAAGCAAGAUAUAACAAGACAGAAAAAAAGAACAAAUGACACUGGUCUCUCUGUUCCUGAAUAAAGAAAGGAAAGAAGUUGGCUGAAAAGAAUUCACAGCACUGUAACUACAGUGGCCAUGACUGACUGGGUUAAAACCCUGGUUCUUGAGACCUCAUCUUUUGUCUUUUUAGGGCCUAACCCUCAGCACAUGUAGGUUCCCAGUCUAGGGGUGGAAUCGGAGCUGUACCUGCCACAGCCACAGCCACAGCAAUGCAGGAUCCGAGCUGAGUCUGUGACCUACACCACAGCUCAUGUCAACACUGGACCCUUAACCCACUGAGCGAGGCCAGGGAUGGAACCCACAACUGCAUGGUCCUGGUCGGAUUCGUUUCCGCUGCGCUAGGACAGGAACUCUGGAAUGUGUUUCUUAUGUAGACAUAAGAAAGAAUGCAUGUGGUUUUUGCUGUUUUAGUCAAGAAGAGAACCACAGUGGAGCCAGGAUAAGCGCAUGCUUCCUAGGAAGUACCGGAAGUCGCUCUGAAACCUAUCUGUGAGUCUUUUUUUUUUUCUUCUUCUUCUUCUUUUAGGGCUGCACCUAUGGCAUAUGGAGGAUCCUAGGCUAGGGGUCAAAUUGGAGCUAUAGCUGCCAGCCUAUGCCACAGCCACACCAACGCAUGAUCCGAGCCGUGUAUGUGACCCACACCGCAGCCAAUGGCAAAGCCGGAUCCUUAACCCACUGAGGGAGGCCAGGGAUCAAACUGGCAACCUCACUGUUCCUAGUCGGAUUCAUUUCACUUGCUCCAUGAUGGGAACUCCAGACAUGAGUCUUUAUGUUUUUCCCUCCUGCUUGUCUUCUGUCUUCCCUUCAAGGGAGCCUUGUAGAUCAAAUGGAAUCUUUCUACCCAAUAAAGUCAUCUAAUUACUCUUCUUUGACGUUUUCCUUGAGAU
rnacentral:lncRNA from 1 species